UACGAAGGGGGGCUAGCGUUGCUCGGAAUCACUGGGCGUAAAGCGCACGUAGGCGGCUUGUUAAGUCAGGGGGUGAAAUCCUGGAGCUCAACUCCAGAACUGCCUUUGAUACUGGCAACCUAGAGGCUGGAAGAGGUUAGUGGAAUUCCCAGUGUAGAGGUGAAAUUCGUAGAUAUUGGGAAGAACACCAGUGGCGAAGG
rnacentral:rRNA from 1 species